rnacentral:rRNA from 1 species
GAUAAACGCUGGCGGCGUGCCUUAUGCAUGCAAGUCGAACGUGAAGCAGGCUUCGGCUGGUGGAAAGUGGCGAACGGGUGAGUAACACGUAGGAACCUGCCUGGAAGUGAGGGAUAACCCCGCGAAAGCGGGGCUAAUACCGCAUGUGGUCGCAAGACUAAAGCUUCGGUGCUUCCGGAGGGGCCUGCGGCGGAUUAGCUAGUUGGUGGGGUAACGGCCUACCAAGGCGACGAUCCGUAGCUGGUCUGAGAGGAUGGUCAGCCACACUGGAACUGAGACACGGUUCAGACUCCUACGGGAGGCAGCAGCAAGGAAUUUUGCGCAAUGGGCGAAAGCCUGACGCAGCAACGCCGCGUGGGGAAAGAAGGCCUUCGGGUUGUAAACCCCUUUUGCGAGGGACGAAGAUCUGACGGUACCUCGCGAAUAAGCCACGGCUAACUACGUGCCAGCCGCCGCCGUAACAC